rnacentral:rRNA from 1 species
GCCUACGACCAUAUCACCCUGAAUGCGCCCGAUCUCGUCUGAUCUCGGAAGCUAAGCAGUGGUCGAGCCUGGUUAGUACUUGGAUGGGAGACCGCCUGCGAAUACCAGGUGUUGUAGGCU